rnacentral:rRNA from 1 species
UACAGAGGCCCCAAGCGUUACUGAGAAUCACUGGGUUUAAAGGGUGCGUAGGUGGCGCGUUAAGUCCGUUGUGAAAUCCCUUGGCUCAACCAAGGAAAUGCUUCGGAUACUGGCGUGCUUGAGGCUAGUAGGGGUCACUGGAACUGACGGUGGAGCGGUGAAAUGCGUAGAUAUCGUAAGGAAGGCCGGUGGCGAAAGCGAGCCUCUGGACAGUUACUGACGCUGAUGCACGAAGGCCAGGGGAGCAAACGGG